CUGGGGAGAUAAAAGUGGUAUGCACUACUGGAUGUCUUCUAACAUUAUCAAUUAUUUAAAUAGCGGUGAUGUCAUCCUUGUCAAAUAGGAAUGGAGGUGAUUGUUGACGCAAUUAAGUCUAUCCACUUUGCCAUUCAGUAAUGAGCAAAUAUGAUUGACAGAAAUUUUGCAAUGUGAUCGUGCUAGAACGUACAAUUUGUAUGCUGGUUCAACCUUGUUCAGGUUCUUUUCAAGGUCGCUCCAUAUGGUAGCCCAGGGCCAGAAGCCGUCAACUAUGCUGGCGUAAGAAUAUAUCAUCAGCUUUUUUAUGCUUUUAGCGUAGCCAUACGAUACGAGUUGACCUUCAGGUGACAAGCUCUUUGUACAGGUAGAAGCCCUUGCAAAAGAUACUUUCUUCAGUUUAGUAUCGUGAAGAAUGAAUAUAAUGAUCUCAAACCUUACAGUUGUCCCCGAUCGAGUACUUUACUCACUUUAUGAGAGUUGGGAAAAUGUUCCAAGAGAAGACAUAAGACUUAUUUCUGUGAACCUGUGAAACAACUGACAAAUUUGUUAGUACGAGUAUCAGAAGCACAUCGGUUGAAAUACCAACAAAAAUAAAUGAGUAACUGAGUAAGAAGCGGAAUCGAACUACGGAGAUCAAGGUGAACUAUGAGCGUGAAAGGCCAUACAUUGCAAGAGCUACCUCCUUAAAUCUCAUCAGCUCAAUUUGGAAAUUUGAUAUUAGCAAAUUGCAAGCUAUGAGGUCUCCAUCACCAUUGUCAAAUGGAUCAGAAAUCCAAUUAUUUUUGUUAAAUUCAAAUAGUUUAAGGAGCUAAGGAUCGUGGUGAUUAACCAUGACAUCAUUACGAGGCAUUGUUUCAGAGAGGCAAACAAGGUGGUCGACAAAUUGGCUUCUCUGAGCCAUUCUGUUGGGAAUAAAACCUCUACCAAAAUAAUAUUCACGGUAAUAAAAGCGGAAUAAUAAUGUAGCACCGAGAUACGGUNNNNNNNNNNNNNNNNNNNNNNNNNNNNNNNNNNNNNNNNNNNNNNNNNNNNNNNNGAGAUACAGUAAUUAACAAGAAUAAAAGAGUAACAAUGACACCAAGAUUUUUACGUGGAAAACCCUUCUGAAUAAGGGAAAAAACCACGACCCUGAGAUGAGCAACUGAUAUCACUAUAGUAAGGAAUUUUACAUUUUGUAGUUCCGAGUAAAAUGCUCCAAAGAUCACUACAACACUCAAAAGAAAUAACCCUCUUUUGAUAUUCUCACCUUACUACAAUAUCGCUCACUCUCUAUUUUCUUCACCGACUAUUUCCUUAUACCCUGUCUAUGAAACCUUACUCUUUUUCACUCUUUCUGUU
rnacentral:lncRNA from 1 species